GUCCUCGCUUCAGCAGUACAUAUACUAAAAUUGGAGUGAUAUAGAGAAAAUUAACAUGGCCCCUGCACAAAGAUGACAUGAAGCAUUCCAUAAACUUUGAAGAAAUUA
ensembl:snRNA U6 U6 spliceosomal RNA